GGAUGGGAGAAGAGAUGGGUAAAAUCCGACUGGAAGAAAGAUGAUAACACUGCUGGGGAGUGGAAACACACAGCUGGCAACUGGUCCGGUGACGCUAACGAUAAAGGUAUCCAGACUAGCGAGGACUACAGAUUCUACGCUAU